rnacentral:lncRNA from 1 species
AUUAAGGAAAACAUCAAACGAUUAAACUAGUAUUAGAUAAAAUGCUCAAAUGAGCUGAAACCAUGAAUACCUUCCUAAUUUGUGUUCUAUUCUGUUAUGUCUCAAAGUAGAUUGAGAUUGCUAGAAUUUCCGGAAUGUUAUAGUAACUUAAGCAAAGCUUAAACAAGGUAUAUAUGGAUAAAACCCCGUCUCAUAGAAAUUGAGCUUCUGUGGUUCCCAUGUCAAUGUUGUAAGCGAAAUGUGAGUGAUGCAGUACUUGUUUUUGUUAUGUUAAGGAAAUUACUAUUGUAAAAAUGCACAUGGUAGACACUUCUUCCUAUGUUUAAUGUGUUAUUCUUUAUAAAUGAGGAUAUGUGAAGAAUAUGAACUAAGUGCUAAAAUGCCUAGAUUUUAAGUCAAGUUUAAUUUAAAAUUAUUAUGCCAAACUAUGUGAAAUGCUCUAUCUAUCAAGAUAUUUGAAGUAAUCAAAUAAAUUUGGGAAAUAGGAUGUGGCCAAUAUAUCGAGAACUUGAAUUAUAAUUGUACUUGCUGAUGCCUAUCACAUGAAAAAAUAUGAAACCGAUUAUGAAAUGAGCCUCGACCUUCCUUUCCAUAAAUGACUUCAAUAAUAAAGUGCCCUAGAGGCUUUGUACACAAUUUAUGCCAUAAGUGGCCAUUCGAGAUAAUGUUUUGCCUUAUGAGUACAUCCAAUGUGAUCCGAGUUGUUACAUACUUCGAUGU